rnacentral:rRNA from 1 species
ACGGGUGCGUAACGCGUGGGAAUCUGCCCUUGGGUUCGGAAUAACAGUUAGAAAUGACUGCUAAUACCGGAUGAUGUCUUCGGACCAAAGAUUUAUCGCCCAAGGAUGAGCCCGCGUAAGAUUAGCUAGUUGGUGGGGUAAUGGCCCACCAAGGCGACGAUCUUUAGCUGGUCUGAGAGGAUGAUCAGUCACACUGGGACUGAGACACGGCCCAGACUCCUACGGGAGGCAGCAGUGGGGAAUAUUGGACAAUGGGCGAAAGCCUGAUCCAGCAAUGCCGCGUGAGUGAUGAAGGCCUUAGGGUUGUAAAGCUCUUUUACCAGGGAUGAUAAUGACAGUACCUGGAGAAUAAGCUCCGGCUAACUCCGUGCCAGCAGCCGCGGUAAUACGGAGGGAGCUAGCGUUGUUCGGAAUUACUGGGCGUAAAGCGUACGUAGGCGGUUACUCAAGUCAGAGGUGAAAGCCCGGGGCUCAACCCCGGAACUGCCUUUGAAACUAGGUAGCUAGAGUCUUGGAGAGGUUAGUGGAAUUCCGAGUGUAGAGGUGAAAUUCGUAGA